rnacentral:rRNA from 1 species
AUUACUCCUACGGGAGGCAGCAGUGGGGAAUAUUGCACAAUGGGGGAAACCCUGAUGCAGCCAUGCCGCGUGUGUGAAGAAGGCCUUCGGGUUGUAAAGCACUUUCAGCGAGGAGGAAAGGUUGGUAGCUAAUAACUGCCAGCUGUGACGUUACUCGCAGAAGAAGCACCGGCUAACUCCGUGCCAGCAGCCGCGGUAAUAAU